GGUUAAGCGACUAAGCGUACACGGUGGAUGCCCUGGCAGUCAGAGGCGAUGAAGGACGUGCUAAUCUGCGAAAAGCGUCGGUAAGGUGAUAUGAACCGUUAUAACCGGCGAUGUCCGAAUGGGGAAACCCAGUGUGAUUCGUCACACUAUCGUUAACUGAAUACAUAGGUUAACGAGGCGAACCGGGGGAACUGAAACAUCUAAGUACCCCGAGGAAAAGAAAUCAACCGAGAUUCCCCCAGUAGCGGCGAGCGAACGGGGAGCAGCCCAGAGUCUGAAUCAGCUUGUGUGUUAGUGGAACGGUCUGGAAAGUCCGACGGUACAGGGUGAUAGUCCCGUACACCAAAAUGCACAGGUUGUGAACUCGAAGAGUAGGGCGGGACACGUGGUAUCCUGUCUGAAUAUGGGGGGACCAUCCUCCAAGGCUAAAUACUCCUGACUGACCGAUAGUGAACCAGUACCGUGAGGGAAAGGCGAAAAGAACCCCGGCGAGGGGAGUGAAAAAGAACCUGAAACCGUGUACGUACAAGCAGUGGGAGCACCUUCGGGUGUGACUGCGUACCUUUUGUAUAAUGGGUCAGCGACUUAUAUUCUGUAGCAAGGUUAACCGUAUAGGGGAGCCGCAGGGAAACCGAGUCUUAACUGGGCGUUAAGUUGCAGGGUAUAGACCCGAAACCCGGUGAUCUAGCCAUGGGCAGGUUGAAGGUUGGGUAACACUAACUGGAGGACCGAACCGACUAAUGUUGAAAAAUUAGCGGAUGACUUGUGGCUGGGGGUGAAAGGCCAAUCAAACCGGGAGAUAGCUGGUUCUCCCCGAAAGCUAUUUAGGUAGCGCCUCGUGAAUUCAUCUUCGGGGGUAGAGCACUGUUUCGGCUAGGGGGUCAUCCCGACUUACCAACCCGAUGCAAACUACGAAUACCGAAGAAUGUUAUCACGGGAGACACACGGCGGGUGCUAACGUCCGUCGUGAAGAGGGAAACAACCCAGACCGCCAGCUAAGGUCCCAAAGUCAUGGUUAAGUGGGAAACGAUGUGGGAAGGCACAGACAGCCAGGAUGUUGGCUUAGAAGCAGCCAUCAUUUAAAGAAAGCGUAAUAGCUCACUGGUCGAGUCGGCCUGCGCGGAAGAUGUAACGGGGCUAAACCAUGCACCGAAGCUGCGGCAGCGACACUAUGUGUUGUUGGGUAGGGGAGCGUUCUGUAAGCCUGCGAAGGUGACCUGUGAGGGUUGCUGGAGGUAUCAGAAGUGCGAAUGCUGACAUAAGUAACGAUAAAGCGGGUGAAAAGCCCGCUCGCCGGAAGACCAAGGGUUCCUGUCCAACGUUAAUCGGGGCAGGGUGAGUCGACCCCUAAGGCGAGGCCGAAAGGCGUAGUCGAUGGGAAACAGGUUAAUAUUCCUGUACUUGGUGUUACUGCGAAGGGGGGACGGAGAAGGCUAUGUUAGCCGGGCGACGGUUGUCCCGGUUUAAGCAUGUAGGCUGGUUGUCCAGGCAAAUCCGGAUAAUCAAGGCUGAGGUGUGAUGACGAGGUACUACGGUGCUGAAGUAACAAAUGCCCUGCUUCCAGGAAAAGCCUCUAAGCAUCAGGUAACAUUAAAUCGUACCCCAAACCGACACAGGUGGUCAGGUAGAGAAUACCAAGGCGCUUGAGAGAACUCGGGUGAAGGAACUAGGCAAAAUGGUGCCGUAACUUCGGGAGAAGGCACGCUGGUGUGUAGGUGAAGUCCCUGCGGAUGGAGCUGAGACCAGUCGAAGAUACCAGCUGGCUGCAACUGUUUAUUAAAAACACAGCACUGUGCAAACACGAAAGUGGACGUAUACGGUGUGACGCCUGCCCGGUGCCGGAAGGUUAAUUGAUGGGGUUAUCCGUAAGGAGAAGCUCUUGAUCGAAGCCCCGGUAAACGGCGGCCGUAACUAUAACGGUCCUAAGGUAGCGAAAUUCCUUGUCGGGUAAGUUCCGACCUGCACGAAUGGCGUAAUGAUGGCCAGGCUGUCUCCACCCGAGACUCAGUGAAAUUGAACUCGCUGUGAAGAUGCAGUGUACCCGCGGCAAGACGGAAAGACCCCGUGAACCUUUACUAUAGCUUGACACUGAACAUUGAGCCUUGAUGUGUAGGAUAGGUGGGAGGCUUUGAAGCGUGGACGCCAGUCUGCGUGGAGCCAACCUUGAAAUACCACCCUUUAAUGUUUGAUGUUCUAACGUUGGCCCCUUACCGGGGUUGCGGACAGUGUCUGGUGGGUAGUUUGACUGGGGCGGUCUCCUCCCAAAGCGUAACGGAGGAGCACGAAGGUUAGCUAAUCCUGGUCGGACAUCAGGAGGUUAGUGCAAUGGCAUAAGCUAGCUUGACUGCGAGCGUGACGGCGCGAGCAGGUGCGAAAGCAGGUCAUAGUGAUCCGGUGGUUCUGAAUGGAAGGGCCAUCGCUCAACGGAUAAAAGGUACUCCGGGGAUAACAGGCUGAUACCGCCCAAGAGUUCAUAUCGACGGCGGUGUUUGGCACCUCGAUGUCGGCUCAUCACAUCCUGGGGCUGAAGUAGGUCCCAAGGGUAUGGCUGUUCGCCAUUUAAAGUGGUACGCGAGCUGGGUUUAGAACGUCGUGAGACAGUUCGGUCCCUAUCUGCCGUGGGCGCUGGAGAAUUGAGGGGGGCUGCUCCUAGUACGAGAGGACCGGAGUGGACGCAUCACUGGUGUUCGGGUUGUCAUGCCAAUGGCACUGCCCGGUAGCUAAAUGCGGAAGAGAUAAGUGCUGAAAGCAUCUAAGCACGAAACUUGCCCCGAGAUGAGUUCUCCCUGAGACUUUAAGUCUCCUGAAGGAACGUUGAAGACGACGACGUUGAUAGGCCGGGUGUGUAAGCGCAGCGAUGCGUUGAGCUAACCGGUACUAAUGAACCGUGAGGCUUAACCUU
rnacentral:rRNA from 1 species